UUCUUUUCCUCUUCCUCUCCCCUCUCUCUAAUCCCUCUUCUUCCUCCUCCUCUCGCCCCGAUCGAUUCCCCUGCGGUGGAGGGAGCGAAGAGGAGGGGAAGGAGACGAGGUAUUUAGGAAGGGUUUGGCGAUGAGGAGGAAUCGUUGCUGUUAAUGGAGGGGAGCUUCUUAUGGAGCUCCAACAGCUUAGGGUUUGCUCCCCUGUUUCCCUCCGUUCCCUUGUUCUUUACUGUAAGGUGCUACAUUGUUGAAUAUCUAAUAAUUCUCAUCUAUGGUUUGAUCCGGUAUUUCGUAGAUUUAGUUGCAGUUUAUUUCUUAAAAAUUGGUUCAAAUUACACUAGUUUUGAGAAUUAUGCUUUUAUAGUUUAAUUAGGUGUAAAAAAUGGAUAAUGUGGAAACACAAAUCAUUAGGCACUAAAAUUGUAAUGUAAAUAUGAGGAUCCGUAUGGUAUAAAAGUGAUGUUUUUAGUCACAACAACUGUAAACUCUUUCGCGUUUUUCCACCUUGUCUAUAGAAGAAGUUGUUAUUCUUUAUUCUCCCAGUUUGUAGUUGAUUUGUUAUCUCCAUUUUGAUUUCCAAUCAGUCAAUGAUGGAUAAAUUUGAUUCCCAUGAGUAUUAAACUGCAGGCCAUAUGUUGAAAAUUCUGAAAAAAUAGAAAACUGGUAAAACUUAGGCUGUAGUUCAUAAUUAGUUUACUAACGGAUACUAUCGUUAGUACAAUGAUCAAUUCUGUAUCUCCUAGCUUUUGCAAUUCCCAUUUCAUUUAUAUAUAAGGUUAAUCAUAAAUAUUUGUAUUUUUUGUCGAUUAUUAUGUUGUAUGUUUCAUAUUUUAUGAGGUUAGUUGUGGAUUUCUUUCUCUUUUUUUUUUGAGAGAUAGAUAGCACGCUACCCGCUUCGUUUAUUUCAAUUAGUUGUAGAUUCUAGUACCAAGGUUGUGAUACUAUGACAGAGACUAGUCCAUGAAAGUUUUACAUUGUUGCCGAGAUUUUGCCGGCUAAUUGGUGAUUGUUGUAUUUUCUUAGCAGUAUAUUCCUUUGGGUAGAACAGCUGAGUCUUCUAUGGUUGUUUGAAGUUUGAGUUAAACAACAUGUUCAUGAUAGAACUACUAGAAUGAAGCUAACAUUGACAAAGAUCUUUCUAUUUGGAAUGAACAAUCGAAGCUGAAAUUACAAUAUUCUUGUAUGCUACUCAUUAAGGCCCCCAACCUACUUUUCAGUACUUUUACUUUGUGGAAUAUUAGAGUUUCAAAUAAUGUACAAUGCAGAUGUUAUAUCUCCUCCCACUUGUCAUGAGAAUGAGCUUAUGAACUCCACAUGUACUGUUAUCAAGUUGCGUACACCGUGUGCCCAUCAUCAAAUUGUGUACACUGUUCACAAAUUGUGUGUCUGUUGCUGCUUUUGCAGAGAAAAGAACCCUUUGCUGUUGCUUCCAAGCUGGAGGCCUUACUACACUUCAUAAUCUAUCUUCGUAGCUUCUCUCUCCUGAAUUCUUUGAAAUCUGCAAUCAACCCUGUGUCCACAUCAUGUUUCAUCUUCUCAGCUAGACUCUUCAGAACCUGCGUUAUUAGAACAAGCAUCACUGGUCACUGACUGAAUGGACAAUUGAUUGAGCUUUUCUUCUUCUUCUUCUUCUUUUUUCCUUCUGAAAGUGCAGUUAAAUGAGCUAUUUUGUGGUUCUCACCGACUCAAUGACGCUUCUCCAGGCAUUUUCUGAGAAGAAAGGUAGCAUGGUCGGGAGGACUACGCUGAUGCUCAUCUCUAGGCUGCCCCUAAGACGGCGGGCGCGGUGGCUCCCCUUGUUUGCAUACAACACCCCUUCUAUGUUGAGAGCAAAGUAAGACGGUACCUUGUUGCUAUCCAACCCUUCGAGCUCCCAUUUAGUCUGCAAUCAUAAUUAACAAGAAUGCCAUAUUGCAGAUGCCUGUAAUCCAUAGUCUCAAUCUUAUAACAGAAAUUGUCUGGGAACUGUUUUAAUGCGUAGUGGGGAUUAGGUGGACCAUGCAUGUGGCAUUAAUGGAACAGGUAAUUAAAUAAGGGACUAUGUGACUAUCGCAAAAUUUUAUUUGGAUGCAUUAUAUGGGAAUUUUCUUUUAUGAUUUCAACAGAGGGGUUGAUUUUAGUCCAUUCGAAGUACUUAGAACCUUGUUGAGCUUUUAGAAUAAUAAGCUCCACCUGUGAAAUAGCUGAUCAUAUUCUAGUAAAAAGGAGAUCAUAUAUACUACAUAGUUGUAGACCUCUUUUUAACCAAUUAUACGCACUCUUUUCUUUUUUGUGGAGGUAAUUAUAUGACCUCUCUGAGUGAACAAAAAAGAAAUGCCGAACAAGAUGUUCAUGCAACAUAAUUUUGUUUCUUUAUCUUACCGCUUGGAGCUCGACAAAGCUGGUCGCAUCUUGAGGAACACCUGGUGGGUUUACCUUCCCCUCUGACUUGCUUCGAAGUCGCAUCACAACCACCGGAUUAGCUGUCAUGAAUAGCAAUUGGAGCGGUAGCAUAUGUAUCCUCCAUUCUUCCUGAAUUCAGUUGUCGAUAAGCACAUUGGCAGUUAUAGGCAGUAGUGAAAUAAUGGAUCGCACAACUCAAAUUCAGCUUGAAAUUCCAUAGUUCUUAUAAUCUACUAUGGUUUCUCUUUUCAUAAUGAAAUAAAAUAUGUGGACAAGUUUAUCCUUGUUUUACUAAGCUUCUUUACUUGGUGAAGCAGGAGUCGAAAUCAUCAGGAAUGACUUGAAGCUUUUACUGCCAAUAUCCUAGUAUGGUUUUUUGUCAGAAGCAUGCGAACAAGGUUGCAAUUACUUACGUCGCUGAGUCUCUUCGUUUUGUGUUGAUGUGCAAACAUUGCUUUGAAUAUUCGAGGCCGGUCACUGAGAUAUUCAUCAAACGAAACCUGAAUGGAAUUGUUUUAG
rnacentral:lncRNA from 1 species